rnacentral:rRNA from 1 species
AAGUGAUUAUAUGAUUAAAUAUUUAUAUAAAUAACAAAGGGUAAAAUUGGAGUGUUAUUUUGUAUUAGUAAAAAUUUUAAUUGAAGCUAAGAAAAUUUAGUAAUAAACUAGGAUUAGAUACCCUAUUAUUCUAAAAUAAAUUGACUUAAACUGAAUUAGUAAGAGAUAAAUACUUAAAAUUUAAAAAAUUUGGCGGCAAUUUAAUCUUUUCAGAGGAACCUGUUUUGUAAUCGAUAAACCACGAAAAAUCUUACUUGUUCUUGUAUUAACAGUUUGUAUACCAUCAUUAUCAGAUAAUUCUAAAAAGAAAAAUUAUUAAAUUUAAUAUAUUUAAAAAAAUUAGAUCAUGGUGCAGUUUAUGAGCAAGAAAAAAUGGGUUACAAUAAAUUACUUUAUUGCGAAUUGAUAAAAUAAUAUUAUUAUGAAGAAGGAUUUGAUUGUAUUUUUAGUUUAAUAAGCUAAGUAGAUAUAAGUUCUAAAUUGUGUACAUAUCGCCCGUCGCUUCCAUUUAUAAGU